rnacentral:rRNA from 1 species
UACGGGGGGGGCAAGCGUUGUUCGGAAUUACUGGGCGUAAAGGGCUCGUAGGCGGCUUGCUAAGUCAGACGUGAAAGCCCUCGGCUCAACCGGGGAACGGCGUCUGAGACUGGCAAGCUGGAAUCCGGGAGAGGGAUGCGGAAUCCCAGGUGUAGCGGUGAAAUGCGUAGAUAUCUGGAGGAACACCGGUGGCGAAGGCGGCAUCCUGGACCGGCAUUGACGCUGAGGAGCGAAAGCCAGGGGAGCAAACGGG